GGGACCCGCCCUGCCGCGGGGUCGGCUGCAGCGGCCGGUGGCCUGGCCUGCGCCGCCGCCUGUGCUCCGACAGAGCCCCGCAAACCCGCGGGAGGGAGCAGGGGUCGGGUCACCGGAGGGGACACUGAGGCCGCGUGUGAGAGGCGCGCGCCCCGCGUGCCCAGCUGCCCGGCUGCAGGUCCGGUCACGGCCCUGAUCCCACGACGUCCGUGGAGGUGCCGGCGCAGGGGGCAGGGAUGGUAGAGACUAGUGUCACCUAUGUCCUGCCCUCCAUGUCUCCAUAAGUACCUGGACCUGCAGGUCUCUGGUCCUUUCUGCCUGGAGAUGGGCAGAGUGUCCUGCCUCCUGGAUGAGGCUGGACCCUGGACCCAUCAACCCACACCAGGAAUGUGCCUCCUCCACGUACCUGCCCCUUCCAUGGACUCCUUCCUCCAAGUAUUGAAGUCAUUCCGGAUGGUCUGAGGAUGUGGCGUCACACAAGUGAGACUCACAUAGCAGGGCAGCCUCUUGCCCAGAUCUUAGGUGGACAUAUUGUCCAGCUAAAAGUUGUUUCCACCCCAAGGCUGUUUGUGAAGAGUGUUGCCAUGAACACGGGAGUGCAGUGAUCUCUCCAAGAUCUUGAUUUCAAUUUCUUUGGACUGUUCAGCUGUGCUGAUUCCCCUGCUGUUCCUGGCAGGACAAGACACAAAUGGGCAAUAUCCUGCUAAACCUGGGAAGCAAGUAUCUAGGGGCAGAGAAGAAGCUGUGGCCUGGGAGAUCUCUCUAGGCUCUGAGCUGUGCUGCCCUGAGGGAGGGAUGAGGUGAUACUCCUCUUACCUCUUCAGUGCAUUAUCCUCUGGCUUUUUUGCUCCACUGAGGCUAUUUAGGAUCACAUUUUGGAAAUCUGGGAUGUUUUCACAAUCUCUAAAAAUGGUCCUUAAGAAUUAAAGUCUUCUUUGCUACCUACCAUGGAAUUUAGCCAGAUUUAUUUUGAUGUCAUGUUCAGAUUUGGCUGAGAGUCAGAGCAGGUACAUCUACCUGAAAUGGCGUUCAUUUGGAGGAACUGGCAGUAUUGAAGCUAUGCUAAGCUAGUGGCUGGAUUUGCAAAGUGCCGGAGAGUUUACGGGCUUGAGAGACCAGGAGGAAAUUUGCACCUGUUUACAAACUGCUGUAUAUGGCUCAUGACUCCUUCCUCCACCAUCAUGGCCUGGUCUGUCUUGUCCAAGAUGAUCAAGGUCACCAAAACUGUGUUUAUUCUCUAAGAUGUACACCAGCCCAGGACCUCCCCUCUGCCUGAUAAUAGCACAAGUGGGAAAAGCUCAAUUCUCUGCUGUUUUUGCCUAAUUAUUAUUCCAUGUUGGAUUUAUACAGGGAAAUGGUACCACUGAAAUUCAUGUUAUAAUCAAAGAAAUAAAAAUAUGUAAAGGUCAACCUACAAUGUAAAUGUGGUUCAUUCUGGAAUGAGCCGAUGGCUAGAAUAUAAUGUAUUAACUUUGUAAAGCGUGGGUGUAUUCAAAACCUCUGAGGAGUGGAUCAGCAUGUCAAAAUCACCCACCUACUCUGCACCCUGUUGCUUUUAGAGGUUAAUCCUGUAAUUUAUCUGCUUGGAAAAUUUAAAGCAGAUUCUCUAAAAUCAGAUAAAAAGUCUUCGUAAUGUGACCCCAGUGUAGGCAACAUGAUACGGAGAAGGUUAAGGCUAAAGAUUGUGUUAACAACACUAAUUUACAUUGUGUGACAGGUGAUACCUUUAUAGUUAGGAAUCUCUGGAACUCAUUUAAUUUCUUUUUUUCUGGCUGACCUUUUCACUGUCCUUGCCACCAUUAUCUUAAACUCUGGUUACUCGGGCUGCAGGACACAGUGUCCUACACAUUCAUCCAUAUUUGAAGAAAGACUUGGAAGGGACGUAUUAAAUGGCAUUGUGAAUUUUAUUUAAAAAUAUUUUCCAUCGGGACGCCUGGGUGGCUCAGCAGUUGAGCAUCUGCCUUCGGCUCAGGGCGUGAUCCCAGGAUCGAGUCCCAC